UGGCAGAUCCUUGUGAGCAGUGCUUCAGUAAAAUCAAGAUUUUGGUAGAAGAUAUGUGACGAAACCACUCUCAGAGGAUUCUAAAGGAAUUCUGAAGUGAAAGAACUGAGCUGCUAACUACAGUGUGCAUUUUCUCAUGUAAAAAUUAUUUGGUAGAGAAGACUGGCAGUAAGUUAAUACGGCACAAAUUUUUAAACAGUGUUCCAGGAGAGUCUUGUAGGUAGCAUAAAGAUGGAUACUAAACAAUUGCUGGUACUCUGACUCAAAAAAAGACAUGGGGACAUGAAAUCACACUAUCAAGUUAAAGAGAAGAGAUACUUUACUACACGCAAUGCAAGGAUGACACAUAGACCUUUCCAAAGGAUGUCAGAGUUGAUAAAAUUUUGUAAUUAUUAAAUAUUUUUAAACAUAAUGGGAGAAAAUUCUAUAGUGAGUGUAACUGCUGGAUCACAUCCUGAACCUCCGGUUGACCACCUGCAGCAAGUAAUGAGGCAGCCCUGGGAGCACAGGUGAAAACAAUUCUCCUGUGCUAGAGGAAGGGAUGGAGACUGGCUCCACCUCUCCUACGCUCCAUUUAAUAGCUGACUACCACUAUGGAUGGUUCUCUUUUGGAGAUUGCUCCUCUUGUAGUCUUCUCAGUGGGCCCAGGACAAGGCCCCAUAUGUAAGUGGAAAUCUGCAGGAUCAUGGAACAGAAAGCAAAAAAGUAGAAAGGAGAAAAAGCAAAAUAUCUCUUUGAUGGAAAACUGAUACACCGCUUCUCAAAUGAACAGAGGGAAUUUCUCAAGUAAGAAGAGAGUGAUGCUCUGAGGUGUAAUGCUACAGGCAGAAGCUCAUUGGGUUUCCUCCCAAGUCCAAUGUAGAGCAUUCCCAGGAGAAGCAACUUCUACAGGGAAACUUUCAUAGUGCUUUCAGCACCACCAAGAGAAAUUGCAAUUGCAAGGAGAGAAUGGCUGAAACUGUGCAGGCAGGGAUUGCAGUGUGAAGGGCACAAAUGAAAUCUCAGAAGAAUCACCUAGCUAUGAAAUACUAGCAACUUUCUCUUGCUGACUGAUUUUUCAGAACUUUGCAGCAUGUCCAAAUUUUGGAAGAUUUAUUUGGGAAUGGAGUUGAGACAAACCUCCAAACCACAGAAGUUCUUUAGUUUCUCAGUGGAAGGGUUGUUUUAAAGUCAAAUUGUGAAAAGCAGAAUGUUGCCGGGAACCUUAGAGUUUUAAAUGGAAAAUGCUAGUCAACUCUGGUCAGUUCUGACUGCAUUAAUCUCUGCUGAAAUAGCUUGAUAGUUGUUUUCUUUUCUUUUACUAACGCUGCUUUAGCUUUCUUAUCAUGACAUUGAAGGGCUUUCAACAAGCGAAUUUGUUCAUUUGCACUUUUAUUAAAAAGCUAGUAAUUGCAGAUCAUGGAAAUUGCUGGCACUGUCCUUAGAGCACUGUAAAACAAUGUUGACUUAGCUUUAUCUACUCUGUGUACUUCUGCUUCAUUUGCAACUGGUGAGUUGUGGAGAACUGGAAGCAGUGAGUACCUUGUUGAGGGAGAAUAAAGUAAAAAGUCUUUGCGGUCUGGAUAUCAAGAGUUUCAUGGUUAUGGAUGAAUUUAUUUUGUAUGUGGUUGUACAAGCUCAGUGACUUCUGAAGAUUGUAGUGGUGAAGCCAGAUUAGAUGGCAACUAUAAAAAGGAGCAAAACAGGGUUUUCCGUAUUGAAUUUGGGAAACCAACAUCCCUAAAGUCAUUGAGAAAGCAGGCAUUUUCUUGUUUCAGGAGUCCUGCACAAGAAGCAAUCCUUGUCACUCUGUUCUGGUUUGAUCUCUAGCUAGUAGUUUCUGGGAUUCAGAUCAUCAUCAGCGAACUAAGUGCUGUGGCAGUUCACUCAGAGUCUAAGUAGUACACAACAUUUUUUAAGUUAGCAAAAAUUUCUGUGCUGAAUAUUUCUGUUCUUUUGCAACACAGAAUAACAGUCUUUCCAAAUAUACUUGAAACUUCACAGAGAACUUGCUAGUAGCGAGCUGAUUAUUGAAUUAAUUCUGUAAAACAUUUAUAUUUUGCACAAUUCUUUAAUUCUUUUCAAAUUGUAUAUUUUAAAACUUGCUUUAUAAUCCUAUUUAAUUCAUGUGGCCUCCUCCUUUCAUUAUUUUUAAUGUAAUUAAAUUCCAUGAGACUUUUUCAUAAAGAUUGUUGAGCUGUUUCCAGAAAAUUCAUUGUUAGUUGUACUUCAAACUGUCUGUUUUGUUCUAGUGUUAGAAAUCCCCUUCUCUACCAUUUCUACCUCCAUGCUAAGCCUAAGUACAUAUCUAUGCAUGAUGGAUGUUUUUGAUAAUUUGUUUUAAGCUGGUGGAAUAUUUAUAAAGACAAAGAAGAGGGGAAAAAAAAAAAAGUGGGUGCUGUGUGUUGGCAGAACACAGAUGCAGCUAAUAAGAAGUGACGCUAUUUAUGAGCACAGUGGGGUGUACUUUUUCUGGCUCCAGGUACAAACCAGCAGGAUUUCAAGUGCAUUCUCUCAUCACUUGUCCCAGUCCUGAUGCCUGCAAUGUGAGUGUAGUCAGGGAUGGAAGAGGAUGAAGAGGAUGUGGAGGAGCAGGACCACGUGUACACGGUGCCAAGCACAAGUGGAUGCUUCUUGUGAGACCCAGCAUCUUGGCUGCUUUGUACACCCAUAGGCAAGCCAAGACUUCAGUCUCUAUCAUUGGCUCAGUAACACAAAAAAGAGGAGCUGAAGUAGUGGAGUCAAGUUUUAAAUGAACUGAUGACUUUUAUGAAAGAAUACAAAUCACUUUAAAGCCUUUUCUGGAGUUCAAAAGUAGGCCAAGCUAUUUGUACUGACACUGCUGAUGUGUUUUCUUCCCUAAGUGAAGGUUUAUGUGAAGACAUCUGUUAGCUGGACCCAAGAUUUUGCUCAUGCAACCUGCCUGAAUUUUUUUUUUUUUUUUAAAAAAAAAAAGGAGGUGUAGGAAGAAGACAAGCUGGCAGAAUGGGAAUUAAGUAGAUUUCCUGACAUAAUAAGAGAAGGGCUUUUUACAACUUCAACUUGAUUUUCACAAUUUCAAGCUGUAGUAAAAUCUCUUUAAGCAAAGAACUGAUUUGCUGGAUUACUGACUGCUAGAAGUUGUUGGUUGCUGCUUUAGCACUUUCAGACAGACGUGGCUGCCAAUUGUAAAGAGAAAAAAAAAAAUCUUUUUCAGAUACUGUGAAAUAUUAAUGUGGAAUAUAAUCAAGAAACUUCUGCAAAAAUCUCAUGAUGGAAAUUCAGUGCAGCUGAAUGUUACCGUCCUGUGUCAAACUUUUCCUGAUAUGGAUUCACAGCUACAAUAUAUUUGUGUAACUAGUUAUCUGCAGCCCAUUCAUCAUCAUAUUUUGUCUACAACAUAAAAUGAUGAAAAAUGCAAUGACAGUAUGAAAACAGGAAGAAUUAUGUUUAUCUCUAGCUACUGUCAGCAUUGGAUUAUUUUUUCCACAUUCCAUAAGUGUGCUUUUACAAAGCACUUGUAAUUGCAGCUUUAACUGAGAAAAAAAAGUUGAUGAUAAAAAUUAGCACUUAUUAUAUACAUCAUUAAAAGUUACUAGUGUUAUCUUUUAUUAAGAGAGGAGGAAAAGUUGAGGUUAUGCAGUUGCUUCUGACCUGAGACUCCAGUGCUCUGGUCCAGAUAAUGCUCACCAGAGCGUUUAUUCAUUUGCUGUUAAGAUACAUGCAAAAGGAUUUGUCAUACAAAUUAACAAAUUAGCAGCAUUAUAUUUGCAUUGCAACAGCUCCAGUCAGUACAAGAUCAUCACACUAACAGUACAAACAAAUAUUUCUGACCUGCAGAGCUUAAAGUCUAAAUUCAGACUCAAUAAACAAAGAAAAUAAAUGGAAAGACUGGAGAAAAGGACGGGCAGGAAACAAUGAUAAGAACACUUAGUUGCAUAGGCCAUGUACAUGCAUAAUUGCAGCUCUAUUUAUAAGCUAGAACUAAACAUGAGAUAUUAAUGAGGUUAGUAAUCCCUGCUGGCCAGCUGCCUAGCCAUUAAAGGAACGAUGAUUUGUCUGGAAGGAGAAUAUUCCUACACCCUGCUGUGUUGCUGAGAAGGAUUGUAUAAAUGCCAAGGGGUUUAUUCAGUUUCUUAAUGCUGCUGGCCUUACCUUCUUGAGUCAGCUAUGCAAAGGCAGAAGUACUACCACUUAUGGCUAUAUAUUCCCUUCCAUCCUGUUUAAUACUGCGGUGAAAUUGGGCUUGAUCUCUUCAUGUCCCUUCCGACUCCUGCAAUUCUGUGGUUCUGUGGAAGUUCUUUCCCAUGCCAUUCUCUACAAGGAAACCGCUUGACAUGGUGGGGUAAAAGAACACUUGUAACACCAGAGAGAUUAAAAGUGGCCGCCUUUUUAAUGAUAGGGCUUUUUGUUUUAGUGGCAACAGGAUCUCUCAUAAUAUGCAGUUAUAUUACAAGGUAAUAAACGUGUUCUAGUAAUAAAAAACUUGAUCAAGA